UUCCGGUUGAUCCUGCCGGAGGCCAUUGCUAUCGGGGUCCGACUCAGCCAUGCUAGUCGUGCGGGUUCAGACCCGCGGCAGACAGCUCAGUAACACGUGGCCAAACUACCCUCUGGACGCGGACACCCUCGGGAAACUGAGGCUAAUCCACGAUACGGCUCCCACGCUGGAAUGCGGGGAGCCGGAAACGCUCCGGCGCCAGAGGAUGUGGCUGCGGCCGAUUAGGUAGACGGUGGGGUAACGGCCCACCGUGCCCAUAAUCGGUACGGGAUGUGAGAGCAAAUAGCCCGGAGAUGGAUUCUGAGACAAGAAUCCAGGCCCUACGGGGCGCAGCAGGCGCGAAACCUUUACACUGCACGCCAGUGCGAUAAGGGGACCCCGAGUGCGAGGGCAUACAGUCCUCGCUUUUGUACACCGUAAGGAGGUGUACGAAUAAGGGCUGGGCAAGACCGGUGCCAGCCGCCGCGGUAAUACCGGCAGCCCGAGUGAUGGCCGCUGUUAUUGGGCCUAAAGCGUCCGUAGCCGGCCGAACAAGUCUGUCGGGAAAUCCAUCUGCCUAACAGAUGGGCGUCCGGCAGAAACUGUUCGGCUUGGGGCCGGAAGAUCCGAGGGGUACGUCCGGGGUAGGAGUGAAAUCCCGUAAUCCUGGACGGACCGCCGGUGGCGAAAGCGCCUCGGAAGGACGGACCCGACGGUGAGGGACGAAAGCUGGGGUCUCGAACCGGAUUAGAUACCCGGGUAGUCCCAGCCGUAAACGAUGAUCGCUAGGUGUGGCACAGGCUACGAGCCUGUGCUGUGCCGUAGGGAAGCCGUGAAGCGAUCCGCCUGGGAAGUACGUCCGCAAGGAUGAAACUUAAAGGAAUUGGCGGGGGAGCACUACAACCGGAGGAGCCUGCGGUUCAAUUGGAUUCAACGCCGGG
rnacentral:rRNA from 1 species